AGCAACAUCCUUUCUUCCAUACAUCCACGCUACCUGAAAGACGACAGCUUCCUGAAUCCAACGAUACCAGUUAUGUGCACAUCGGACCUCCGCUUCAAAAGAUACGGCCAGACUGUUGUACGGUCACAUUGGAUUUGAAAGCAACAUCCUUUCUUCCACACAUCCACGCUACCUGAAAGACGACAGCUUCCUGAAUCCAACGAUACCAGUUAUGUGCACAUCGGACCUCCGCUUCAAAAGAUACGGCCAGAUACUACAAAAAUACUACAUUUGAAAAAGGAUUCUUGAAAGUGCAGUACCUUUGUGUGACCACAAGAUGUAGGUGUCACAUCACCUAUGAACCUACCCUAUGUUAAAAUCAUACACACUUGUAAAGACUGUUGUACGGUCACAUUGGAUUUGAAAGCAACAUCCUUUCUUCCAUACAUCCACGCUACCUGAAAGACGACAGCUUCCUGAAUCCAACGAUACCAGUUAUGUGCACAUCGGACCUCCGCUUCAAAAGAUACGGCCAGGUAAGCUUUGGCCAAUCAGAUCGCAUAUGCUAAUGAGGGUGGAAUUAAUGAGGGUGAAACUCGUUUUUAGCUAUAUACCUAGUUGCAAUUAACCGCAGACUAGCCCCUAAACCCGAACCAUAAAUCUGCUAACCAUAGCCUCACUAACCACUAGCCCUGACGUAAAUUUUCUAAAUUUCAUAUGUAUUUUGAACCAUUAGCGGUCCUCCCCGGAUUCAUACAGCCCUCCA